CCAAUAGCGUAUAUUAAAGUUGUUGCAGUUAAAAAGCUCGUAGUUGAACUUCGGGGUUUACUCAUUGGUCAGGCUUAAUUGUCUGUACUGGUGAGCUGAAUCUCUACCUUCUGAGGAACUUUCAUGUCAUUUAUUUGGUGUGAUGGGAAAUCAGGACUGUUACUUUGAAAAAAUUAGAGUGUUUAAAGCAGGCUAACGUCUGAAUACAUUAGCAUGGAAUAAUGAAAUAGGACGGACUGAUUCUAUAUCGUUGGUUUCUAGGAUCACCGUAAUGAUUAAUAGGGAUAGUUGGGGGCAUGAGUAUUCAAUUGUCAGAGGUGAAAUUCUUGGAUUUAUUGAAGACUAACUACUGCGAAAGCAUUUGCCAAGGAUGUUUUCAUUAAUCAAGAACGAAAGUUAGGGGAUAGAAGACGAUCAGAUACCGUCGUAGUCUUAACCAUAAACUAUGCCGACUAGGGAUCGGACGAAGUUAAUUUUAUAAUGACGCGUUCGGCACCUUACG
rnacentral:rRNA from 1 species